UACAGAGGUCUCAAGCGUUGUUCGGAUUCAUUGGGCGUAAAGGGCGCGUAGGCUGCGGGGCAAGUCGGGUGUGAAAUCUCAGAGCUCAACUCUGAAACUGCACUCGAUACUGCUUUGCUUGAGGACUGGAGAGGAGAUUGGAAUUCACGGUGUAGCAGUGAAAUGCGUAGAUAUCGUGAGGAAGACCGUGGCGAAGGCGGGUCUCUGGACAGUUCCUGACGCUGAGGCACGAAGGCCAGGGGAGCAAACGGG
rnacentral:rRNA from 1 species